CGCCUGCCCUGUGACCAUGUUUAACGGCCGCGGUAUUUUGACCGUGCAAAGGUAGCGCAAUCACUUGUCUUUUAAAUGGAGACCUGUAUGAAUGGCAUGACGAGGGCUAAUCUGUCUCCUUCUCCCAGUCAAUGAAAUUGAUCUCUCCGUGCAGAAGCGGGGAUUCCACCAUAAGACGAGAAGACCCUAUGGAGCUUUAGGUAAUAAAGAGCCUGUAUUAACUUAAAAGACCAAAAAGAAUAUAACAGCACCUUUUUACUUGCCUUUGGUUGGGGCGACCACGGAGAACAACAAAACCUCCAUGCGGACGAAGACUACAAGUCCUAAAACCUAGACCACCCCUCAAAGAAACAGAAAUUCUGACCAAUACUGAUCCGGUAACUCCGAUCAACGAACCUAGUUACCCUAGGGAUAACAGCGCAAUCCUUUCCAAGAGCCCCUAUCGACGAAAGGGCUUACGACCUCGAUGUUGGAUCAGGAUAUCCUAAUGGUGCAGCCGCUAUUAAAGGUUCGUUUGUUCAACGAUUAAAAUCCUACGUGAUCUGAGUCAGACCGGA
rnacentral:rRNA from 1 species